UCACGGUACAGACCCUGAAAGGAACGCACGGAUUCCCAGCUUUUAUUAAAUAGGUAACAGCAGCUCCAGUGCUGUCUUUGUAACGUCCUAGAAUUGGAGGAGAAAACAGCAAAAUCAUCAGAAUCAUAAAACCUGUGUUGCCAUAAAAUAAACGUCUGUCCGUGUUUGAUCAUCGUAAGACCCAGGCUCUAUUCUUCCUCUAGGGCCUGGGUGUCAAAGGUGUUUUCCUUCGUGUAACAGGGGCCGGUCUUGUCUCCCGGCUGACCUUGGUCCGCUUCAGCCAUGGACCCAAUGUGAUGGUUGUUCUGAUCCGUUCCUGUCGUGAAAGGAAAGCGUGUCCGAAGGACUUCAAGUAACUGCCCAGAGCGUGCUGGCAGGAGGAAGCACCCAGCCCCUUGGGCCAGGACUUCUGGGGCCUUCUGCCCGCCACCCUGUCGCGGCUCACCUGUUGGUCCUGGGUCUCCUCUUUAGCCAAAUCCCCGCUGUUUGUUUAGAGCCCGGCGGGCAGGUGCCCAGCCCAGGCCAGAGCCGCUGCGGGAUCAGGCUGCUGACUCCGUUUCUAACUCCUGGUUUCUGCUCCAGACUCACCCCUGGGUGACGCAGCUUUGUGUUCUGUUCAUUUCUCUCGCCAGGAAAAGCGUUCGGCUUUUGCCUUCUGGACCAGGGGGAGACCACCCCUGUUUCACCUCCUGAGUGUCACCUGUUCAGAUGCAGCCCAGAGAACCUGGCGUGGGCUCAGGGCGGGGAGGCUCCGGCUGGGCCUCUGCAGCCGGAUCCCAGGCCGGAGCAGCUCUUUGGAGUACGGCUGGGACAUUUUUAAAGCUGCUGACCGAUGGGGAGCUGCUCUUCAGAGAGGGCAGAACAACAGAGUCACGGUCUUGGAGUGGGGGUGAGGAUUCCGUUUUUCAAGUUCUCAGUGACCUGGGACGUGAAGAUGUAAGCCAGCCUGCACACCUCUGCACACCGAGAUUAAACAAACACCUACCCAGCCCCUGAUUCUGCCUGCCAGGAACCCUAACGGUGACACUUUCAAGAAAAGAGACCCCUUCUUCCCAGCUGGGGUUCUGAGCGGUCUCCACCAAAGGAAACAUUGAACAGUCUCAGAUUUCAGGGGGUGGGAGAUCACUGAAAUCUGGGAACGACACUGAAGCUUCUGACUUCACCUGCAAAAUCUAACAGGUUGGAUUAGUAAAAUUUUUUUUUUUAAACAAAGAAGCUAAAGCAUAGAGAAAAUACAAAGAAGCAUCACAAAAGGCAUAUGGUUAUUUUACUUUUAUAAGUGAGUUUAGCUGUGCUCCUGUCUGGGAUUUACUGAAAUGGCCUCUGAACCUCUGAGUCACACAUCCCCUUGUAAACACGAGGCCGAUAUGGGUGCACUUUUGGUGGGACAGGUGUUUUCUUCUCAGAAGCCCGUGUCCAGAUGUUGGUCUAGCGAGGCCGGACUGCCCACGGGGAGCAGGCCAGGCCACGCACUGGUGGGCAGUGGCCCUUGAGAGCAGAAUCCUUUCCCAUGGGGGGGUGUUCUUCCUGAGUGUUAGCCUCGUGUGUGGGAAGCAGGGGUGGCCGGUGACCCCAGCCCAGGAAAUAACUAGUGAGCAGGGAUUGUUACGUUUUCCUUUUAGGAAGGCAGCCGUCCCGUGAGUGGCCUCAGUCCCCUGCGCCCUAAGGCUGCUGCUGGUACUGGCCCUCCGUGGCCGUGUAGAAGUCGUCCAGGACGCUCUGCAGGUAGUCGAACGUGGGCCUCUCCUCGGCCUUUUCUUUCCAGCACAUUUUCAUGAUGUCGUAGAGCUCGUCCGGGCAGUUCUCCAUGCGGGGCAUCCUGUAGCCCUGCGACAGGGCGGUCAUCACGUCGGCGUUAGUUCUCCCUGAGGCCGAGAAACCACAGGUACCAUUUAGAAGCCUGACCCAGGCUCACGCACUGCAGGGGUGCCCACCUCCUGCAUCAGUGGUUGAAGGAAAGCUUCGGAGGCUGCCAUGGGCUGAACUGUGUUCCCGCCGUGCCCUCCCCUGCAAACUCCUAUGCUGCACUCCUAGCCCCCAGGACCUCAGAAUGUGACCAUUUAGAGACAAGGCCUUUAAAGGGGUGACCAAGUCAAAAUGAACCCUUUAGGGUGGUCCCUAACUGCCUCUGACCGGUGUCCUUAUAAGAAGAGGAGAUUAGGAAAGGCCCGGGGAGACACAUGGAGAAGACAGCUGUCUCAAGCCAAGGACGAGCCUCGAGAGAAAGCAAGCCUGCCGACACCUUGAUCUUGGACUUGCGGCCUCCAGAACCAGGAGAAAAUAAGUUUCUGUUGUUUGAGCCACUCGGUUUGUGGUAUUUUGUGCUGGCAGCUCUGAAAACUGGUACAGAGGCUAAGGAAAUUUCUGUAAGUGAUGAAAUAAAUGUUAGUACGAAGGAGAUCAAGGCAGCAUUCAGUUGCCAAAGUGAAAACAGGCAAACGUGGUAAAUGGAAGACGAAGUGAGUUCUAAUGACAAAAGGACACUGGACUUGACAGACCUUGUGAAUGAACAAGCCCAAUCCUAACACUUAAUCUCACUUUCUUUUGUAGUAUUUUUUUUCCAGCUUCUACCUGUAAUACCAAAAAAAAAUCAUUUUCCCGUAUAGUAUCUCAUACCAAUACUUUUUCAAAAUUAGCUUUUCAUCCUAAGUGUACUUAAAGAAGUCAGGAUCCUUAAGUCAGCCGGACCAAUUGCUUAAUUCCCACUCCUCAGAUGGUCCCGGCCUUCAGUACAGGAAGACGCAGAGUCCGCCAGGCUGCGGGAAAGAGCACAUCUCAACAGCCGGCGAGGGAACUAGGCCGCCUGCAUUCCUACGGGGCUCUGCAAGAGAGCUGACCGUGGAGGACGGCUUUUACUAUGGUCACAUGUCUCAGGGUAGUUCAGAUGCUGAACUGUCCAUCUUUGAUACUGAGAAUAGCUUUAAGGAAAAAAAGGUCAUUUUACUAACAUUUUCCUCCAGUGCUAAAAUGGGGUAUCGACCCACGCCCACCUAGCAGUUUUAGCAGGACUUACCCAUGUCUGGGUGUUUUGCCUAUUUUGUGGCUGCCUUAUUCUGUAGGGACAUGAGCUCCUCUAGUGAGGGGCUGCAUCUCAUGUGGAAUGUUUUCAUGCGUAGAAGACAUAUAAUAUCUGGCACACGGGGAACUCCAUUCAUCCCAAGCAUUUCCUUUCCAUAGUUAUCUCCUUUCCAUAGCCAGAGGUUUUACCACUAGUGGCCACGGGAAAGAUCCUAAAAGAUAACUAGACACUUUAGGGGAAACGUCUUUGACUUGAUUGGAAACAGAACCUUCUUUUGAAUUUAUUCUCAAAUCCGUGUUUUUCAAAUUGUGGGUCACCACCCAUUUGGGAUCAAUAAAUUGAUUUUUGGGGAGCUACCAGUAUUUUAAAAUAUAAAUUACCAAUAUAACAGAGUAAAAUAGAAAAGAUCAGAGUGCGCUGUACAUGGCAAAAGUUAGUGUGGUUUUGUGAAACUUUCGUUUUAUAUAUGGAGCGGGUUUCUGUCUAUUUCUUACCGUGGGUCAUAAUCAGUGACCUCUGCACUCCUUUGCCCUUAACUAACCUUUCUUCUUCUAAGGACACAGUGACUGAAGGGCCCUGCCUGGAUUUAAACCCCUGAAAAAAGACACGAUUAUUUCUGUCUUGGAAGAGCCCUUGUUUUUGAAAUGGAAAGAUCCAAGCCAACCUUAUAACUGUUAAGAUCUCUUGAAAGUUGUUUGCAUGGUGAAUUAAUUUUGCUCAAGUCUGCUUCUGAAACAUCAUCUUCAAAUAUUUGUGUAACGGGAAUAUUCUAACUGGAACACUUCACUUGCUUCUCAUUGCUUGAAGCCAAGGGGCUGAUUUGCAUCGCUUUCUUUAAUUGGGGUUCUGGUCUCCAUAAAUUAUGUGGCUUCAGCAUUGCUCUGGCUUCUGUAACUAGCCAAGCUCACUUGGAUAAAUUUCUGAAGAAAUAUCCGUGUUUACUUCUACAUGGGCGUUGGGGAAAGUCCUGGGGUCCUGGCAGGAGGAUUAAUAUCCAGGAUAAAGGAAAUAGCAGCUGGACCUGCAACGCUGGGUAGGAAUAUCUCCUUCACCUCCUUCCUAGAGAAGCCCCAGUUGCAUAAAAGGUCAGAACGUGCCCACAGAAGAUAAAUAAACCUUUCUAGGGCCCACGCUGCUGCACUGUAGAUUUUUUUCUUCCUUGUUCUUAUAUGUUCUCCUAACUCCGAAGAACUCUCUCAAUGAUGCAGACAAAGGCCAGGCACGCUCCAGCCUGCCUGGGGAAUUUGACUUGAUAAGAGGAAUAAAAAGAAGGAAAUCUGAAGUCUGUCUUUUUACGUACAAGUAAAUCUACCAACAAAAUACGGCUAUCAACUGACAAGUCUGAUGGAAGAAAGAAAGAGAGGAGAGAGACCUUGACCGAACCCUAAGAUUAAACCCGGUGCUGGUCUGUUGCUAGGUUGAAGAAAGCAAACACCCAUUGGCUGGUGAUCUUUAAAGAAAACCCACAACAGCAAAGAAAGACACUGAUGUCCGCUCCCCAGGGCACCUCCGGAAUGCUGAUGGCCGGGCGGUACUCCCAGCGGCAGGGCCUGGAAGAUCCUCUUCAGAAGGAACUAAAUAGUCCCAGAGGACAGACCUGAAGAUACUGCCGGGGGAAGAUGCUGACAGCGAGCCUGGUGGUCCAGAGGCCCUGGUUCCCACACGUCGUCUCACUGAAGCAAGGGGAGCAGGUAAGCCUCAGAGGACAGGACGACAGGGACAGAAGCGUAGACGGGGGGCUCUGAGGGCCACCCCAGGACGUCUACUGUCCUACCAGCAAGGGAUUUGGAAAGAGGCGAGGAGCGAAUUUUCAAAGAAGCAAUAUAGGAAAACUUCCCCAAAUCUAUGGCUACAAGUUUCCAAAUCAAAAGAACAAAACAGGUACCCAGCGUAACAUAAAAAUGACAGAAGUGUCACACCAAGUGUACAUGGCCAUAAAUCUCAGGGACAAAGAAGGAUCUUGAAUUCUUCCAUAGAGGAAGCGGGAUCCUAGGGAGAAGAUAGGUACAGAAGCCAUCAGCCUUCAGGCCAGCCACUCGAGAAGCUGAAGUCAGUGGAAGAAGCUGCUUAAAAUUCUAGGCGAGAACGUUUGGUGGAGUAGCGUUCAUAACGUAAACGAAUUUGGUAAUUGUACUUAUUUAGCUAUUUAAGUAUAUUUCGGACACGAGUCUCUCAAAAAGAAGUCCUAUUUGGAGUUGAGUCUAUCUUCUAGGUAUGAACUAGAAGAAUAUUAACUUUGAUGCCUCCAAUUUUCACGAGACAAUCUAGGGGCUACACAUUUAAAUUCAUAACUAGGGGCUACACAUUUAAAAACAUAACAAUAAAAUAUGGUUGAAAUGGACUAACAGUAAAUGAAGACAAAGGAGUUUUGAGAUUUGCCCCAAAUACAACGAAUAGGUGCAAAGCCCUUUCCUAAAAAGCAGGUUGCGGAAGAGCCCUUUUCUGCAUCACAUCCUAUGUGCACAGAAGUUCGUGGUGUCAGCUGUGGCAGCUCAAGGCGUCUAUUCAACGAGUAGGACUGCAAAUGCGAAAUGACACUCUCAUGCUCCACUAGCACUUGCUAGUAUUUGACGACUAGAAUUUUGAUAAGUUUAUUAACAACAUUGUACAUUUUACUCUCCUAUUCCCAGAGUUUGUUUUAUCGGUGCUAUCCGUUUUGGCAUCCAGUCACUCUGUGUAUUUGGUACAGCCCUAGUUAUAUAUGCCUUGAUAUUCCUGGGAUGCCUCUGACGGAUGCAACAGAAAUUGAGAACAGUGGCCGCCUUGGGGGCAGGGGUUGUGUGGCUGCAGACAGACGCACCUGUCACCUUGCACCUCUUUGUACCUCUUGGACUUAGAACAAUGUGACCAUAUUCUUAUUUGAUAAUAACUAAAAUGGAGGAAAAUCUUUACUUAGGAAAUAACAGUCUGAGUAUAAUAUUUAGAACUAUGAACAGCAAAUAUUAGGAUAAAUAACCAAGAUUCCUGAAAGCCAAUGCCUUUGAGGAGCCAGCAAGAGUGAGACCCCGGAGGCAAGUUUUCAGCAGAAGCCUUUUGCACUACCUGAUUUUUAAAAUAUAUUUUUUAGACAAGAAGUAAAAUAUUUAAUAAAAACAUACUUGUAAAAAGUUAGCCACUUCAGGAAUUUAUUAAGAAAAAAAUAAUGUAACCUGUUAUUUCAUUGCUCAAGGAUAGUAACAUUUUGAUAUAUUACACCUUUUAGUCUUUUUUUUUCCCCUCUGUUCAUUUUAUAGGAGACUUUCUUAUUUCUUUUCUGUUUUUAUUCCCCUUUUCUUUCUCUUAGUGCCUUUUCAUUUUGCAAAGCUAGGCAUAUAGCUUCUAAACCACACAAAAAAGAGACAUAUCCUGGCACCCUCAGAUAGUUUUUGAAUGAGGGAAUGACUUAAACAUUAAAGAUUUAAUUUUAAAUUGGCCGUAUCCAUUAAUUUUGUUAAAAGCCAAACAUUAACAAGAAUGUGACAGCUUGGGGAAAAAAUCCCUCUUCUUGCACAUUCCAGCAUGGAACCUGGAAAAAGGGAGAGCCGGAAGAAUCUGGCUCCGAGGAGGUUAGGAAUCUGGAAAUACUGAACGAUGUCCCCACGUCCAAUAAGUCAAAGAUCUGAAGAAUCUUUCACUCACACACAGAGGUGCUUAUUUCCUGAAGAGGCAGAGACUCCAAAGUACCUUGUAUGAACUUCUGUUUCAAAACUGACCGAGAAAGAAUUGUAAAACCCUCAUCCCCAUGUCCGUAACCUCCUCCAUCAGGUGGACUGCUUGGGAGGGGCACCUGUGUCUAAUCCUCUAACCCAUCCUUAUCAGCAACACCUGUGAUGGUGGCAGGCACAUUCUAGGCAGCAAGUGGUGGAAUUAAUUAGCGAAGCAAAAGAAUAUGCACUCAAUCAGGCAAGAAGGCAGAGAAGUUUCUAAGCAUAUUUUAGGACACCUUCCAGUAACGACAGUCAAAAUAAAGUUCUAGCACCAUAAGCUUACUUUACUUUUGGAUAUAAGUUUAUCUUUUUAUGACUUGUGCCACUUGGCUUUUUUCUCAUAUAUACCAAGUGAAUGGAAAUAGGUAAGUAACUGAUACCUGGGU